AAAAACAUUGCAAGAUAAGGAUUUAUAUUGUGUGAGAGAGAGUUAUGCUCAUCAACCUUUGGAAUGAUAUUGUUAAAAGGUGGAGGAAAUCAGAAAAUCAAAUAGUAACUGCAGUUAAAAUUUUCAAAUUUCUCCAUCUUCCUAAGACAUUAAUUCCUCGAUAUCUUGAAGAACAUUAUGUUUUGAACAGUAAUUAAUUUUGGACUGUGAGCAUUAUAAAAGACACCAAAUAUCACUAUUUUUUAAGCAUUUCCAACUGAAAAAAAAAAA
rnacentral:misc_RNA from 1 species